GAUGAAGAACGCAGCGAAAUGCGAUACGUAAUGUGAAUUGCAAAUUCAGUGAAUCAUCGAGUCUUUGAACGCACAUUGCGCCCCCUGGUAUUCCGGGGGGCAUGCCUGUCCGAGCGUCAUUACUGCCCUCAAGCCCGGCUUGUGUGUUGGGCCCCGUCCUCCGAUCCCGGGGGACGGGCCCGAAAGGAAGCGGCGGCACCGCGUCCGGUCCUCGAGCGUAUGGGGCUUUGUCACCCGCUCUGUAGGCCCGGCCGGCGCUUGCCGAUCAACCCCAAUUUUUAUAGGUUGACCUCGGAUCAGGUAGGGAUACCCGCUGAACUUAAGCAUAUCAAUAAGCGGAGGA
rnacentral:misc_RNA from 1 species